AGGCCGCAGCCGCCGCCUGUCGGCCCGGCCCGGGUCCCAGCUGCUCCUGCGGCGCUCCCACGCCCCCGCGGGCGGGCGGCGGGGCCGGGAGGGGGCCUCGGCUGGGGCGGGCGCCGGGAGGGACCGAGUCGGGGCCGGAGGCUGGCCGCGUGCCCACCGGGCCGGCGCCGGGGCGAGCCUGGGCCGCGGCCCCCUCUUCCCGCCAGCCAGCCCACCCCGCCCCGGCGGCCUCUGGGAAAACGCGUCCCGGGCGAGCCCCUGAGGGCAGGAUCGGAGUCGGGGGCACCUGGGGAAGGAGAGCGCCCCGUGGGGCCUCGGCCGGUGGCCUGUGCCAAAAGGCCGGGCAGAGCUGCUUCGGUGUCUGGGUGAAGUUUCCAGCCAACCCAAGAAGGAAACCGAAAGGGAAGAGGCCGAGAGAGAGCGCAGCCCAGGAAUUCUACCUAAAGUAACAUAUCCUAAGGCAACAACCAAGAAGUGUGGAAGAAUGCAUGUAAGAAGACACAGUGAUGUUUAGAAUCCUGGGGAAACGGAACAGCCAAAAAGUCUCACAGAGGUUAAGUAAAUAAUAGCAUUUUCAUACGAGUACU
rnacentral:lncRNA from 1 species